UGUGCUCUUCCCAUCUUCUGGGGUUGGCCUGCCUUGCUUGUUGCCGUGGGGGGUUUUCCUCCUUCCCCCCCCUGCUGCUGGUGGUGGCUUGUCUUGGGUGGUCGCUCUCCUUGCAGUGUGUGUGGUGGACCCAUUGUUUCGUGUUCUCUGUGUGUGUGUGUGGAUCUCUCCUAUGUUUUUUCCACCGGGUGCGUCCAAUGGGGUGAGCUGUGGCUCGCGAGGGCUUAUGCUCUAAUAAAUUUGUUAGUCUCUAAGGUGCCACAAAUACUCCUUUUCUUUUUGCGAAUACAGACUAACACGGCUGCUACUCUGAAAC